GGGGGAGUUUCUGCGGUUUUGUAUGGGAGACGGAGUGAGUUCUGUUUCUUUGUCGGGCCCUGGUGCUGCUGAGGCUGAGAAGCGGCUGCUGUGAGCCCUUUUGCGGUAAGGACCAGCCCAAACAGGUGAGCGGUUCGGGUAGUAAGGGGACGGUGAGCGCUCAGGAGCCGCCAGGAUCUCCGGAGCUGGCGGCUGUCGGACCCCGCUCUUCUCGGGGCCGGCGUUAGGUCGCCGCCGGGCUCCCCCGGCUGUGCGGAGCCGAUACGGCGCCGCCGCCGCCGCCCGGCUGCCGUCGCGUUUUCGGAGGCGGCUGCCGCUCCGACCCCCGAGUCCUCGCACAGCCCCGGGGUGCUCUCAGCCCCCCUCACCCUCGGGAUUUCUUUCAGCGGGUGCUUCAGUUCUUCAGGCUCUCCUCGGUAGGAGCGAACGCGAUGGGGCCGUAUUCGUGCAGCCUCUGUGCUGCCGGGAGAGAGAAGCGAGGCCAAGGGCUGCUGAAACAAAAGGUUUCUCGUGUUGCAGGCUGAGCGAGGGCUGUAGCAGAGCCUCUCAUCGCUCCGAAGCAGGCAGCUCGUGGAAGCGGUGAGUGUUUGAGAGUCGCUCGGUAAGAUCUCCCCUGCUGGGGCUCCUGUAGGGUUGCUGCCCGACUGCCUCCGUGUCUUUGGGAUCGGCACGGCGCCGCCGCUGGGGGCUCCCCGCGUGGCUUUUUAGUAGGACCGGCACGGGGCCUCCGCCCGAGACCGAGCACGAUCCCGGGGUGGCCUCGGCCACUGCGGAGUGUUUUGCGGGUGCUCUCACCCAUCCCGUUUCCAGCGGUGGGAGCGAGCAGGUUGGGACCGUGGUUUUAUUUUUUUUUUUUCCCCGCCUCUUCCUUCCCGUGUAACUGCAGGAGCACGAUUUAGGUUCCCACCGUGGAGACCUGGCAGGGCAGCUCGCACGACUGAAGUGCUGUCGUGGAUGGCUCUGUUCCUUUUAGGAAAGGCAGACCGGUCAGGCGGUGGAGUCUCUUUUCGAGGGAGAGAACGGGAACGUAUCGAGCUCCACCUAGGGAUGACUGAAGAACCAGCGGAGCGUUUGUGCGUGAGGCUGAAGAGGCAGGUAAAAGUGGGUGACCUGAGUGGGGGUGUUGGUCACAGACCAGGGUGAGGAAGCUGAUAGACCUUCUGCACACAGCUGGAAAUGGUGCCCACAGCUGUGAGGCUAGUUCUCAUGGUAGGCUCCAGGAGUUUCCUGCAAUGUGUCAAAGGUAAGAUCUUCUGACACAGGUGACGAAGGAGGCAUUGAGGAGAGGGGCUGCUGGAGCUCCCUAUUGCAGAAGAGCCAUCUGGGGACAGGAAGGCCAGGGGCAGCCUGGAGCGUGCCAGUCGUGAGACCACAGCGUUUGGGAUCUUGUGUGGAAGCUGCAAAGCAAUGAGUAGGAUUGAAACACUGGACUUAGAGGGAGCCAGGUUUGUCCUCUUGAAGGGCCUACUUGGAGGUAACCCUUGCUCAAGCAUAGGAAGGGGUCCUGUGAAUGCUGGAGCAUUACUUCGUCCAUGCUGAGGUGCGCUGCGUCCCAAGGAGGAAGGAAGUGCGCAGGAAUGGUGGGGGACCUGCAGGGCUGACUGAGGAACUUGAAGGGGAGAAGGAAGAGAGAGGCUGAGGAAGGCCAAGUCCCUGUGAGUAUCAGCUUUGGGAGGGAGGUCAAGGCUAAUGGAAGUUUGUCAACAGGAGAGACUGGAGAAAUUGCAGGCCUGUGCUUCACAAGGCAAGGGCCUGAGUAAUGGAGGAUGUGUUGGAUGCCUGUUUUGGUUUCAGUGGUCUCUGCUGAGAGUGCUCCUGGGCAACCUGGGGUCCUGGAGGAGAGAGUCUCAGAGGAAGGUUGCCUUCCCCUCAGUUGCAGAGGAGCUGGUCAAAAGUGGUUCAGGCAGAAAGGAGGCCAGCAAAUGCCUGAGCUGUAGAGGGCUAUGCCUGUGCCCGCUGAGAGCUGGCAGCGGUGACCGGCAAAUGGUGCUCUCUGUCACUUUUCCCUGCUGUUUCCUGUGGGGAAAGGUACCUGAAGACUGGAGGGUGGCGGAUGCCACCGCAGCCUUCAGAAAGGGUGUGGAGGAUGGCGUGUGCAACUUGGAGGUAGGUUGGCCUCACCUCUGUUCCUGGGGAGGUGACGUAACAGCUUGUUGCAGGUGUCAUUGCCAUGUGACCGGAAGAGAAGGAAUUUGCAAGGAGCAGUCCAGGUGGAUGGACAGAGGGGAAGUCAUGCCGGACCAAAAGGGCGAGGGCUGCAGCGGAGAGCUUUGCCGAGAGGGUUGGCUGGAGCAGGUGUGCGGUUUCCCCAGCAGUGGGAUGAAGGAGGUGAGAGAGGGGGAGCCCCAGGUGGGAGCCCUCAUGGCGGAGGGCUGCCCCCAGGCGUGCCCCCUUGGAGGUGGUUUGUGGAGGUCUCUGUGCAGGUUCAGGCUGGAGGAAGGAUCCUGGUGGUGUGAGCAGGGUGCCUCUGUGGAGAGCAAGGGUGGAAGGUGCGUGGCAGGCCCUGUCCCGGAGGAGUGGAGUUGAUGGAGUGUGGCCCUUUGAUGCUGGAGUGAGGGGUCCUGGUGGGGCUGAAGUCCUGCGUGGAAGAGGGAGAUCCCAGGCGCUGCGAUGCGGAGGAGGAGCGGAGCCAGCGGGUGCUCUAGUGGCUCCUGUGUGGUGAUGGCUGCUUAGUGGUGGUGUUCCUGGUCCUGGGCUGAAAGGAGGAGGAGGAGAAAGCUUUUAGUGCCUUACUUCAAAGCUCAGGCUUGGAUGACCUUGCUGAGGCUGAACAAGAGUACAAAACCUGUGAGUUAAAUGGGUGGAACAAAACUACAGCUGCUGCACCUUACCGGGCCGAGAGUCGUGACCUGAUCUUCCAUCUUUUACACAAAACGAGUCAGAUCUUCAGCUUGCUGCCACGAGUAACUCACACAUUCUCCAAUUCCUCGUAUGGAAAGAAGGCUUUCUUCUAAGGGAUUAUUCCAAUGCGUAAAAUCGGUGAAUUCACCUGUACAGUAAUGAAAUACUUUCAAUAAUUUCAUGCAAAACUUUCUUUAAGCAGUGCCUUGGGCCAAUCUUUCCAUGUGAGAGCUGCAUGAGUAAAAGUUCUCCUUUCGGUCCAUUUCUGACUUAUUUUUUAUAAUUUAGUUUAAAAGUUCAAGUCAUCCAACCAAAGCUGUGACAACAGGAAUAACAGGCUCGUGGUAUAACAGCAGUAGGAUUUAGGCACCUGUGGAGGGAGAAACACUGAAGAUUUCACCGUGGGUUCAGGGUGGGCCAAACAUUAAAAUCCCUUUCUUGGUUUAAGAUCAGAAUGCACCUUUGUGGGAUUCAUUUCUUCCUUACAUCUCAGUAACCAAGUAUGCAUUGAGUGACCUACACCUUUAAGGGGGAAAAUGGUCUCAGUCAAGCGCUGGAUGAAUAUAAAUAGUAAUAAUAAAAGCCUAUCAGUAAGGAAAAGCUGAGCAUUCUUUUUGAAUGAAAACAUAAUAAUUAAUAAUAAUCAUAAUCAUAAUCUGUGGCACAGGACCCAAAGAGACCUUUUCCUCACAGUUUCACACAGCAGUUCUCUCAUCAGCUCUGAAACCAUCUACCUCUGCAACUCAGAAAGCUUUCUUUUUUUCUUUUCCUGAAAGUUCAAGGAUACGUUAUCCAUUUUCUGGGCAAGUUUAGAACUUUGGGUCUCACUUCUGCAUACACGGAAUCUUCUCUAAAGUCAGUAAGACAGAACAAAACCCGAGACCCUCUUUGGACUGCAAAUCCAGAAGCAUUCGACCCUGCGGUUCUGCCAAGCAGUGUGAAACACCGUAUUUGUAUCCGCCUCACGCAGCUCCCGCCCGAGUUUUUUCUCCGCGCUGAGCAUCAGUCUGCAGUCCUCGGUAAUUCCGGUAGAGGGCAAUACAAUAAAGCCAUUCAUAGAGGGCUCUCCGAGGCAGCUGCCGUAACUGGCUCCCACAGAACGCCUCAGGCUUUCUUCUUGUUCUGGAUUGGUGUGCUAAUGCCAAAUAUUUACAAUUGAAUCUUUUUUUGAUCCCGGGAACGCUCAUACUGCUUAUUUCUUCUUUGACAGCACAAACGCACGGGCGCGUUCUCAGUGCCUGAAAACAUCUCUAUGCAAAAAUCAAGAUAUAACUCUCUUUGCUACCACUUUUUUUUUUUUGUCUCAUCCUCAGCCAUCCGUUUGAAUGUAAACGUUACAGUAUACCUCACAUCCGUAAGGAGUCUUUACAUUCAGGUGUAGUUUUAAAAAGUCUCAUAGGAACCUCUUGCAGUCGAUUAAUGGGCACAUCGGAAGCAAAUCAACUGGAAGUACGGGAUGAGUGUUAUUUAAUUCUCCCUAGGGCUUUGCUAUUCACACACUCCUCUGUGCAGGUAGAUAUUCACGUGCGUAUGAAAGGAAAACUCACCUUCAAGGCGUAACAAAGGGAAACCCACACUGGGAUCAUUCGUAGGAAAGCAUCAUUUCACAGUACAUAGGUUUAUGGAUUGUGAGAGAUAGUGAUGCAUUUGUAAGGAUGAUCCCUACGAUAAGGUUCUGUGGUUUUAUUUUCUCAAGUCUAGACGCAUUUAGUCAAUAAUGAUUUCUUCAAAAGAUAGCCACAUCUCCAAGACAAGAACAGAACGGCCACGUGGCAGAUUUCACACAACCUCACAACAGUACCAUGAACUAUACGGGAGUUUCAUAAUUCAUGAAGGAACAAUAUUCCCUCCCGGGCACUAAAACUAGUCCAGAUAACACCAAGAACAGCUGAAAAGCCGGACAGUGUGAUUUCCCCUCUCCUCAAGUAUAGAGAGACACAAGUAUGAAACAGCUGGAAAACAUAUUCAAAGGAUGACAGGCACCACGUCACAGCAGAAGUGCCAGGUAAGCUCAGCGCAAAACAGUCCCUUUACUUCUUUCAUUCUUUCUUUCAUUUGUAACCAGAUUCAUGAGUGGAUGGAAAUGCUUGACAAAGUGAUAAUGAAUCUCUCUGAACGUUUACAUGGUUCCCAUCAGUGCAAAGACUCACCCAG
ensembl:lncRNA